rnacentral:sRNA from 1 species
AACGUGAAGGAUAACGUUGCGACAGCAACGGCCCGAAGGGCGAGGCGAAGUCGAGUCAUCCUGCACGACCCACCA